rnacentral:rRNA from 1 species
CCUACGGGCGGCAGCAGUGGGGAAUAUUGGGCAAUGGGCGCAAGCCUGACCCAGCAACGCCGCGUGAAGGAAGACGGCUUUCGGGUUGUAAACUUCUUUUCUGAGGGACGAAGAAAGUGCCGGUACCUCAGGAAUAAGCCACGGCUAACUACGUGCCUGCACCCGCUGGAAUUCGUAGGUGGCAAUCGUUAUCCGGAUUUAUUGGGUGUAAAGGGCGUGUAGGCGGGAAAGCAAGUCAGAUGUGAAAACUCAGGGCUCAACCCUGAGCCUGCAUUUGAAACUGUUUUUCUUGAGUGCUGGAGAGGCAAUCGGAAUUCCGUGUGUAGCGGUGAAAUGCGUAGAUAUACGGAGGAACACCAGUGGCGAAGGCGGAUUGCUGGACAGUAACUGACGCUGAGGCGCGAAAGCGUGGGGAGCAAACAGGAUUAGAUACCCCGGUAGUC